GUGUGCUGUGUGUGUGUAAGGGUGCUGUGUGUGAGGGUGCUGUUAGCAUGUGUAUGUGUAAGGGUGCUGUUAGUGUGGGAUGUGUGUGUAUGUGUGAGGGUGCUGUGUGUGUAAGGGUGUUGUUAGUGUGAGGGUGCUGUUAGUGUGUGUGUGUGUGUGUGUUAGGUGUGCUGUGUGUGUGUGUAAGGGUGCUGUGUGUAAGGGUGCUGUUAGUGUGUAUGUGUAAGGGUGCUGUGUGUGUAAGGGUGCUGUUAGUGUGUGCUGUGUGUGUGUAUGUGUGAGGGUGCUGUGUGUGUAAGGGUGUUGUUAGUGUGAG